rnacentral:lncRNA from 1 species
CAUGCUGUGUGCACAAUGCGCCCAUGCCCUGUGCGCUGGCAGGGCAUGGCUUACCCUGCUAUGCGAGUCCCACCCUUACAACCAUUGCAGCCUUCCCUUCUCUACCACGUGGACGACUACAAUGUGUGCCAUGUGGCAUGCAUCCAGUGACUCUCAAACUCUAUAAAUUAGGCCCCUCCCCUUAAUUUUCCACUCACUCCCAUCUUCUUUUCUUCUUC